rnacentral:rRNA from 1 species
UACGGGGGGGAGCAAGCGUUGUUCGGAUUUACUGGGCGUAAAGGGCGCGUAGGCGGCCAGCACAAGUCAGUUGUGAAAUCUCCGGGCUUAACUCGGAAAGGUCAACUGAUACUGUGCGGCUAGAGUGCAGAAGGGGCAACUGGAAUUCUCGGUGUAGCGGUGAAAUGCGUAGAUAUCAGGAAGAACACCCGUGGCGAAAGCGGCUCUCUGGGACGGUACUGACGCUGAGACGCGAAAGCGUGGGGAGCGAACAGG